AGUGACUAUGGGAAUUGAUUACACCUCGUCUGAUGCAAAAAAUAAAUGGGAAACCGUAAAGGGCUUGAAAGAUCCGGACUCGGCUCCUUUUCUUCGGUGUGACAGUUAAAAUGGCUGACAUCUCAAGAUCAAGAUCAGAAACAUGAACUGCUUAUAAUAAGAAAACAACAAUUAUAACUGAUGUUUUGUUUUCCAUAAUGCACGACCACUCUCCUAUAUGAACGAUCAAUAAUAAUUGCAAAUACAAAUCUUUGACAAAAAAUUUGAGCUCCAAGGCAAAUUCCAAAAUGGCAGUCCAUUGAAAAUGAAAUUUAAUGAUAUCAAUCAAG
rnacentral:lncRNA from 1 species